UAUAUUGGGAGAAUUCAGCUGCUAUGUCAUGAGGCAAUCCCAUGGAGAAGCCAUCAUGAGUGAAUUUGGAAAUAGAUCUUCUGGGGUCCACCAAAAGUCAUGUGAAUGAGCUUGGUAAUAGACCCCCCUCCAGCUGAACCUCAAGGUGACUACAGCUCUUGCCAACAUCUUGAGUAUAGCCUGGUGAGAUAUCCUGACCCAGAACCAUCCAGGAUGAAUCUUUUCUAUUCCUUUAUGAUUGGGUGACAAAAAUUAGACAAAAAUGCCAAAAUGAACAACCCAGAAAGCUCAUCAAGUUUCCUGGAUCGUUAUGAAAAAAAAAAACCAAACAAAAAAAACCCCAACCUACCAAUAACUUGGAGUUCUGAACAUAAUUGGUUGGUUCCCAGAAGUACAAUAAAAGGAAACCAGAAGUA